AAUGCCCUUUACCACAGGAUCACCUAAGGGGCCAGGAAUUUGACACCUGUCAGGCCUUUCAUGACUGAUCUCCUUACUUCCCCUGGGUGAACGUGGAUAGAAAUGCAUGUGAAGCCAUUGAGGGAGGUGGACUGGGAGAAUAGAGAGAAGGGAGGGACUAGUGGUAACCACUGACUGGUGCACAAGUUCAAAAGGAGUACCUAUUAUCAUGUGACUUUACAAACUAAACCACAGAACUUCAAUGGCAGACACCAAUAAACCUUUACCUUUGCUCUGAAGGUUUUGCUUUGAGUUUGUGAGUCAGUUGGGUGACUUCUCAUCUAGACUGGGUUCUCUCAUGUGUUUGGACAACUAGACUGACUGGUGUCUGCUCCGUGUGGUCUCUCAUCAGCCAGCAGACUAGCCUGGACAUGUACCAUGGUAAAGGCAGGGCUCCAGGAAAGCAAGAAAAAGCUGUAAGGCUUACUGAGGACCAGGUUCUGUCACUUCCUCCACAUCCUACUGGCAACAGCAAGUCACAGCCCAACUAGAUUCUAUUUCUUGAUGAAAGAAAUCUCCAAGUCACAUCUCAGGGGACUGGGCAUUGGGACCAGAGAGGGGAGUAAUUUAGGACUGUUUUGCAAUCAAUUUACCACAGGAAGCUUGAAGAAGAGAAGGGGAACAAAGAAGAUUGGUGGAUGUCCAGGCAAGGGACUUUGGAGUUUGAGGUCUUGGCAAUCAAUCACUUUCAACUCCUGCAUUGUAAUUUUCUAUAAUAACUCAUUCCAUAUUUAUUCAAGGAAGGCUUUAAUAAAAAAAAAUGAUCCUUGUUUUUAUAGUCUUAAUCUGUUUGUCAAGAAGCUAGUGGAGAUUCCAUCCCCAAACUGCAUGAUAGCCCUUUGCUAAAAACAGCUUCAAACCACAGAAGAAUGAUGCUGCAAAAGAUAGUAAAA